AGCAAAACAGUUUCCAGUAAAGGCUUCUUCUCCUCUUCCUCCUCCUCCUCCUCCUCCACGUCAUCUCCUAUAUCUUCCCAUCGCCAUUUCAACAGAGGAAGAAGAGAAGCAACCAGAGAACAAGACAGACACGAUGGCUGGAGCUCCGACAGGUAACACCUACUAUAUUAUUUGUGACAUCCUGCGGGACAUGAGUGACGAUUACUUCAAGGCUUUUAAGUGGAACCUGAUAAACAUGACAGACAUCCCACAGUGCGAGCUGGAGCCAGCAGACAGGCUUAAGACCGUGGACCUGAUGAUGCCAUAUCACGGUCAGGAUGCCAUGAACAUGACCAUGGAUUCAUUGAGACAGAUCCAGGGGAACGACCUGGUGGAGUGUUUGACUGCUACCUGAGAGGG
rnacentral:lncRNA from 1 species